GAGUUUGAUCAUGGCUCAGAUUGAACGCUGGCGGCAUGCCUUACACAUGCAAGUCGAACGGCAGCAUGAUCUAGCUUGCUAGAUUGAUGGCGAGUGGCGAACGGGUGAGUAAUACAUCGGAACGUGCCCUGUAGUGGGGGAUAACUAGUCGAAAGAUUAGCUAAUACCGCAUACGACCUGAGGGUGAAAGUGGGGGACCGCAAGGCCUCAUGCUAUAGGAGCGGCCGAUGUCUGAUUAGCUAGUUGGUGGGGUAAAGGCCCACCAAGGCGACGAUCAGUAGCUGGUCUGAGAGGACGAUCAGCCACACUGGGACUGAGACACGGCCCAGACUCCUACGGGAGGCAGCAGUGGGGAAUUUUGGACAAUGGGCGAAAGCCUGAUCCAGCAAUGCCGCGUGUGUGAAGAAGGCCUGGUU
rnacentral:rRNA from 1 species